GACGAACGCUGGCGGCGUGCUUAACACAUGCAAGUCGAACGAAGAGCGAUGGAAGCUUGCUUCUAUCAAUCUUAGUGGCGAACGGGUGAGUAACGCGUAAUCAACCUGCCCUUCAGAGGGGGACAACAGUUGGAAACGACUGCUAAUACCGCAUACGAUCUAAUCUCGGCAUCGAGGAUAGAUGAAAGGUGGCCUCUACAUGUAAGCUAUCACUGAAGGAGGGGAUUGCGUCUGAUUAGCUAGUUGGAGGGGUAACGGCCCACCAAGGCGAUGAUCAGUAGCCGGUCUGAGAGGAUGAACGGCCACAUUGGGACUGAGACACGGCCCAGACUCCUACGGGAGGCAGCAGUGGGGAAUCUUCCGCAAUGGACGAAAGUCUGACGGAGCAACGCCGCGUGAGUGAUGACGGCCUUCGGGUUGUAAAGCUCUGUCAAUCGGGACGAAAGGCCUUCUUGCGAAUAGUGAGAAGGAUUGACGGUACCGGAAUAGAAAGCCACGGCUAACUACGUG
rnacentral:rRNA from 1 species